CCUACGGGAGGCUGCAGUGAGGAAUAUUGGUCAAUGGACGCAAGUCUGAACCAGCCAUGCCGCGUGCAGGAUGACGGCUCUAUGAGUUGUAAACUGCUUUUGUACGAGGGUAAACCCCGAUACGUGUAUUCGGUUGAAAGUAUCGUACGAAUAAGGAUCGGCUAACUCCGUGCCAGCAGCCGCGGUAAUACGGAGGAUCCUAGCGUUAUCCGGAUUUAUUGGGUUUAAAGGGAGCGUAGGCGGUUUGAUAAGUUAGAGGUGAAAUGUCCGGGCUCAACCCGGAAACUGCCUCUAAUACUGUUGAACUAGAGAGUAGAUGCGGUAGGCGGAAUGUAUGGUGUAGCGGUGAAAUGCUUAGAGAUCAUACAGAACACCGAUUGCGAAGGCAGCUUACCAAUCUAUAUCUGACGUUGAGGCACGAAAGCGUGGGUAGCAAACAGGAUUAGAUACCCUAGUAGUC
rnacentral:rRNA from 1 species